ensembl:lncRNA
AAAUCUUUGAACCUUAGGUAUUCCACUUGAGUAGUACCUUGAGUAGAAAAGGAACAUUUUCUAAAGAAAAUGUGUGUGCUUGCUAUAGUCUACAAUAGUGAAUAGGAGCAAACGCGAAUCUCACACACAGAGUAUCCAUCCAUGAGUGUUCUGGUCUCCCUGCAUGGACCUAUAGAAGAGACAUCUACUACAGAGAGAUGUAUUUCUCAAAAGACCCACAGGCAUUCGAGAGUAUGCAGCAGAUUACUUCACCGCUCCAAACUGCAGGGCGAUCCUGCCGACAGAGGCACAGACUGAAUCUUUACCGGAUUGUUUGGCAGUUCAACUGUUAUUGAAGUGUAAAGCUGUAACAGGCCUCUUAUCUGUGUUCUGUACAUCCUCUGUAUUGACUAGUUAUGUCAAAGUAACAUGAUGGGAAUGUACUGGCACCCAGGCAGAUGUUCUUACUGAGCAUCAUUACAACAGGUUAGUUACAGGGCUACAGAAGGAUGUUUUAUACCGCUGGUUGAGAGGAAAAUAUAGAUUUCUAGGCCUAUAGGGUGGAGUGGACAGCCUCUUUACAAGAGUUCUCAGGGAAAAGUCUAAAUGGGAUCAUUGGGACGUCCCAACUCUGACGUUAAGCCAUCGAAGUUGAAAUAUAAAAUGGUUAAGGUUACCGAUGUCCCAAGGAUUCCGGAUAGCACUAACUUUUUUCUCAAGCCUCAAGAGUUCCCCCUUCUGGACUCUUAUGUACUUCCACUAACUCGCCAGACAUUAAGCAAGAUGAGACAAUGUGACCGCAGCAAUACUGACCAUAACUUUAGAAUGAUCUGACCACACUGGAUACACAGUUUAAAUGUUUAAUGAAUUAAAAAUCAUCAAGUAA